rnacentral:rRNA from 1 species
CCUGUGAGGGUUGCUGGAGGUAUCAGAAGUGCGAAUGCUGACAUAAGUAACGAUAAUGCGGGUGAAAAACCCGCACGCCGGAAGACCAAGGGUUCCUGUCCAACGUUAAUCGGGGCAGGGUGAGUCGACCCCUAAGGCGAGGCUGAAAAGCGUAGUCGAUGGGAAACAGGUUAAUAUUCCUGUACUUGGUGUUACUGCGAAGGGGGGACGGAGAAGGCUAGGCUAGCCGGGCGACGGUUGUCCCGGUUUAAGCAUGUAGGCGGAGUGACCAGGUAAAUCCGGUUGCUUAUCAACGCUGAGGUGUGAUGACGAUGCACUACGGUGCAGAAGUAGUUGAUGCCAUGCUUCCAGGAAAAGCCUCUAAGCAUCAGGUAACAUGAAAUCGUACCCCAAACCGACACAGGUGGUCAGGUAGAGAAUACUCAGGCGCUUGAGAGAACUCGGGUGAAGGAACUAGGCAAAAUGGUGCCGUAACUUCGGGAGAAGGCACGCUGGCAUUAGGUAAAGGGACUUGCUCCCGGCGCCGAAGCCAGUCGCAGAUACCAGCUGGCUGCAACUGUUUAAUAAAAACACAGCACUGUGCAAACACGAAAGUGGACGUAUACGGUGUGACGCCUGCCCGGUGCUGGAAGGUUAAUUGAUGGGGUCAGCCGCAAGGCGAAGCUCUUGAUCGAAGCCCCAGUAAACGGCGGCCGUAACUAUAACGGUCCUAAGGUAGCGAAAUUCCUUGUCGGGUAAGUUCCGACCUGCACGAAUGGCGUAAUGAUGGCCAGGCUGUCUCCACCCGAGACUCAGUGAAAUUGAACUCGCUGUGAAGAUGCAGUGUACCCGCGGCAAGACGGAAAGACCCCGUGAACCUUUACUAUAGCUUGACACUGAACAUUGAGCCUUGAUGUGUAGGAUAGGUGGGAGGCAUAGAAGUGUGGACGCCAGUCUGCAUGGAGCCAACCUUGAAAUACCACCCUUUAAUGUUUGAUGUUCUAACUCGGCCCCGUAAUCCGGGGUGAGGACAGUGUCUGGUGGGUAGUUUGACUGGGGCGGUCUCCUCCCAAAGAGUAACGGAGGAGCACGAAGGUUAGCUAAUCACGGUCGGACAUCGUGAGGUUAGUGCAAAGGCAUAAGCUAGCUUGACUGCGAGAGUGACGGCUCGAGCAGGUACGAAAGUAGGUCUUAGUGAUCCGGUGGUUCUGAAUGGAAGGGCCAUCGCUCAACGGAUAAAAGGUACUCCGGGGAUAACAGGCUGAUACCGCCCAAGAGUUCAUAUCGACGGCGGUGUUUGGCACCUCGAUGUCGGCUCAUCACAUCCUGGGGCUGAAGUAGGUCCCAAGGGUAUGGCUGUUCGCCAUUUAAAGUGGUACGCGAGCUGGGUUUAGAACGUCGUGAGACAGUUCGGUCCCUAUCUGCCGUGGGCGUUGGAAGAUUGAGAGGGGCUGCUCCUAGUACGAGAGGACCGGAGUGGACGAAUCACUGGUGUUCGGGUUGUCAUGCCAAUGGCAUUGCCCGGUAGCUAAAUUCGGAAGAGAUAACCGCUGAAAGCAUCUAAGCGGGAAACUUGCCUCGAGAUGAGUCUUCCCUGGGGCUUUAAGCCCCCUGAAGGAACGUUAAAGACGAUGACGUUGAUAGGCUGGGUGUGUAAGUGCAGCGAUGCAUUGAGCUAACCAGUACUAAUGAACCGUGAGGCUUAACCUU